GAUGAACGCUGGCGGUGUGCCUAAUACAUGCAAGUCGAGCGAACGGACGAUAAGCUUGCUUCUCUGAUGUUAGCGGCGGACGGGUGAGUAACACGUGGAUAACCUACCUAUAAGACUGGGAUAACUUCGGGACACCGGAGCUAAUACCGGAUAAUAUUUUGAACCGCAUGGUCCAAAAGUGAAAGACGGUCUUGCUGUCACUUAUAGAUGGAUCCGCGCUGCAUUAGCUAGUUGUUAAGGUAACGGCUUACCAAGGCAACGAUGCAUAGCCGACCUGAGAGGGUGGUCGGCCACACUGGAACUGAGACACGGUCCAGACUCCUACGGGAGGCAGCAGUAGGGAAUCGUCCGCAAUGGGCGAAAGCCUGACGGAGCAACGCCGCGUGAGUGAUGAAGGUCUUCGGAUCGUAAAACUCUGUUAUUAGGGAAGAACAUAUGUGUAAGUAACUGUGCACAUCUUGACGGUACCUAAUCAGAAAGCCACGGCUAACUACGUG
rnacentral:rRNA from 1 species